rnacentral:rRNA from 1 species
CCUAACACAUGCAAGUCGAACGGUAACAGGAAGAAGCUUGCUUCUUUGCUGACGAGUGGCGGACGGGUGAGUAAUGUCUGGGAAACUGCCUGAUGGAGGGGGAUAACUACUGGAAACGGUAGCUAAUACCGCAUAACGUCGCAAGACCAAAGAGGGGGACCUUCGGGCCUCUUGCCAUCGGAUGUGCCCAGAUGGGAUUAGCUAGUAGGUGGGGUAACGGCUCACCUAGGCGACGAUCCCUAGCUGGUCUGAGAGGAUGACCAGCCACACUGGAACUGAGACACGGUCCAGACUCCUACGGGAGGCGGCAGUGGGGAAUAUUGCACAAUGGGCGCAAGCCUGAUGCAGCCAUGCCGCGUGUAUGAAGAAGGCCUUCGGG